GAGCUCCAGGGUCUGGAGCGAUCAAAUUCAGCCCUUCACAAGGAGAUUGCCUCAUUGAAAAAAGACCUCCAACUCUACACAGCAGCUCUGGAGCGCCACAAGCCUUUCUGCUGCCUCAAAGACUCUGCAUCCAGCUCCAGCUCAACAACCUGCCUCUCGGGUUCCCCCUCAGCUGGCUGUCAGACCCCCUCCAGCCCUCCUCGAGUACCUCCUCAGGCCUCAAGCUCCUCUCAUGCUGCUGCCCCUUCACUCUCUACCUCCCUAACCUCCAGCCUGGGUCCUCAAACCCUUGACUGUGUGGGAGGCACUUGUCUUUCCUCUUCAACUCCUGCUCCAACAACUACAACAUUAGCCUCAGCUGCCGGCUUGUCUUCAGAACUCUUCAAGUCCUCCGGGUCUGUAGUCGUUCCUUAUUCUGUCUCUUUUUCUACAGUCGCGGCUCCUCACUCUUUGUUUAGUGAUGAUCCUCCUACUCAAAUCACAUCAAGGGAGACAAAUGUUGCGCCUGUUUGCACCAGCCUCAUUUCCAGCACUGUACCCUCCAGCUCUCUCACCGUAGCUGGUCAGCCUCAAUCGAGUCAAGGCGCCAUCCAUGAACGUUCUUCAAUGCCAGCAAACGCUUGUUUCUCUACUCUUCACCUUGAUGCACUGGAUGCCUUUCUUACAGGUUCACCUAAUGUAGCGUCCCCUUGCUCCCAUUUAGUGGCAGAGAACGCAGGUCUAGUGGCGCAAAGUUGUCCCAUGAAUGUGCCCCAGCUACACCGAGGUCACUUCAGGGGAAGUCCAAUCAAUUCAAGUCAGCUGCCCUCUCUUUUACUGCCAGCGCAUCAAGAUCCUGCUCCUCAGGCCUUCUCAGUGUCCCCACAGGCAAACUUAGCGGCGUCUCCAGCCUCUGCUUUUGCCUUAAAGCCAAGUUAUAGUCAACAUGUUGCGCCCAAUCCUGCGUCUCUGCUUUCCCUGCUCACCGUCCCAAGUCCCCUUAGCAUGUCUCAGACUACCUCCAGCAACUUUGAUGGACCUCCUUCUCAACCCCUGCCCUCACUGCCACCAUUGGGGGAUCCCUUAAGAGAUCUCUCCCUUUCAGAACUCCUAGACGUCAAUGAUUGGAUACUACAAUGA
rnacentral:lncRNA from 15 species